UAGGGAAUAUUGGUUAAUCUGCGAAAGCGGGAACCAGCAACGCCGCGUGCACGAUGAAGGCCUUCGGGUUGUAAAGUGCUUUUUGAGAGGAUGAGGAAGGACAGUACUCUUAGAAUAAGCUUCGGCUAACUACGUGCCAGCAGCCGCGGUAAAACGUAGGAAGCGAGCGUUAUCCGGAUUUACUGGGCGUAAAGCGUGUGUAGGCGGUUUGAUAAGUUGGAUGUGAAAGCUCCUGGCUUAACUGGGAGAGGUCGUUCAAAACUAUCAGACUUGAGAGUGGUAGAGGGAGGUGGAAUUCCGGGUGUAGUGGUGAAAUGCGUAGAUAUCCGGAGGAACACCAGUGGCGAAAGCGGCCUCCUGGCCCAUUUCUGACGCUCAGACACGAAAGCUAAGGUAGCAA
rnacentral:rRNA from 1 species